rnacentral:rRNA from 1 species
GUAAUGAUGGCGAAGAGGUCACACCCGUUCCCAUUCCGAACACGGAAGUUAAGCUCUUCAGCGCCGAUGGUAGUUGGGGGCUUCCCCCUGCGAGAGUAGGACGUUGCCAG